GUGUGUGUUUGUGUGUGGUGUGUGUGUGGUGUGUGUGUUUGUGUGUGUGUGUGUGUGUGUGUGUGUGUGUGUGUGUGUGUGUGUGUGUGUGUGUGUGUGUGUGUGUGUGUGUGUGUGUGUGUGUGUGUGUGUGUGUGUGUGUGUGUGUGUGUGUGUGUGUGUGUGUGUGUGUGUGUGUGUGUGUGUGUGUGUGUGAGACUGUUUCUCUAAACUUAGACCCAUAGACCCGUCCUGAUGAAUUAUUGUCUGUGCAGACAAACUGACUGAUUGAUUGGAAGUAUUAUAAUAAUUAUCCUGCAGUUGUGGUGACUGCUGGCUUUUGAUUUUAAACACAAACUGCCAACAUUUAUAAAAGUUUGGAUUCGUACAAAUUACUUGGUGAAUUAAAUAUGAGAAACUGAGCAGAACACUAGAUCGAAAGUGUGUUCAUACAAAUAUAUAUACACACAUAUGUAUACAUAUUUAUAUAUUAUAUAUGUGGGUGUGUAUAUACUGUAUGUAGUUAUUUUUUAGCUGUUUUCUUUAAACAAUUGAAAUCAAAUUCUGGAUUUGAGUCAAAUAAUGAAAUAAAUCUCGAAACCUGAUAACCCAUCAGCUGAUGAACAUAUUAAAGUCUCUUAAAUCUGGUUAUUGACAAAAUAUGUCCCACUCUGUAAUAUAUAACAGAACAGUUCAAACAUUAGUAUCAACUUUAAACAAAAAGACAACAAAUGUUACUAAAAAACAACUGUGCGUGUGUGUGCGCGUGUGUGUGUGUGCGCGCGUGUGUGCGUGUGUGUGCGUGCGCGCGCAAGAGAGAGAGAGAGAGAGAGAGAGAGAGAGAGAAUGUCACUGAUUCACCUGUAUGCUCUACUUUAUUCAUGAUUUACUCUUCUGCUGUUAUUUAAACUCCUAAACAAGAAAAGGAGAUAGAAAUAAACAAAUGGGGAGUAAAAAGCUAAAAUAUUAAUACAAUAAUAUAAUUAUUAUAUUCACAAUGACGUCAGUUUCAGAGGCUCCUCUGUAAAUAAUCCUAAACAAAGCACAAAUCCCUGAAUUUAAAUAAUUUCUACCAGUUCAUGCCUUGAAUUUAAAACAACAUUGAAGUUUCUAGAGAAGAACAGCCGUAGUAAUCCUCAGUGGAAACUCUUUAUAGAGAAUACAUGAAGAAGUAUUAAACAUGUGUUUUCAAACCAUGAACCCUCAUGGACAGUGAUGUCACUCAGCGACGUAAUGAGCCAGCUGAUGAUGUGACAUCACUACAGAAAGUUUACAAGAAACAGAUGUGAUAAAGGUCAUGUAACAGGUUUUACAAUAAGGUCAUUAAGUCCCAUGUUGAAUAUAUUUUAACUUUGGAAUCCAUUAAAAAUGGUCUAUUUUUUACCCAGAAAUGAAAUUACCAAGCAGAAUUAUAAAUUAAAAGAGAAUAGGGCAAGUGCUGAGUAGAAUGAUACUGUGGUUAAAUGUCAACAUGAGAAAUAGUUUAAUUUCAAUUGUGAAUAGCUGUAUUUAUAAGUAAUUUGCAAGUUAGCAUUUCUUUUUCUUUUUUAAAUCUGGUAAAUUGCUAAAAUUUAAACAUUUCAAUUAAAACAAAAACAUAAAGAAAUGAUUUAAUUAAGUUUUCAGUUUUUGAUUUCAGGUUUAAAAUUUUUACUUUCCAUUAUUAAAUUGACAUUUUCAUGAAAAACAAUUUCCUUUUUUAGAGCUUCUUUUUUACAUUUGUGUUAAACUAGUAUUGAGACAUGCAGUAAAAUCUUAUGUUUUCCUGACGUUUUCGGUUUGAUUUUAUUAAUUUUCUCUUAAGUAUUAACUCUCAAUAUUACUUAUUCUAAUGUUUUGAAAUUUAAUUUUAACAGAUGUAUUUUCUGGCUGGAAUGUUCCUUCAUAAUUGGAUGUGCGGUGAACAGUUUGUGAUUCUCAGUGUUUUAUUUAUUUAGUAGCGUUUUUUAUUUUCUGCUGGAGAUAUUCAUGACAGAGCAAUGAGUCAGGAGCUGCUGCAGUAGAUUCCUUCAACGAUCCCCCUGAUAAAACCUGUUCGGGAAAACCUCCUGAAACCUUAUUGAUGUAUUUAUCUGCUGACGCCUGAACGCACCGUCCAACCGCCUCACAGCUUUUGUUGUCUGCUUCUUUUUACUCUCUGUUCUAAUUUAUUAUUUCAAUGAGAUGUAAAUAAUCCGUCUGAAUAAAUCAUGUUGCAGCUCACUGA